UACGUAGGUGGCAAGCGUUGUCCGGAAUUAUUGGGCGUAAAGGGCGCGUAGGCGGCCGUGCAAGUGGAAGGUGAAAUCCCUCGGCUCAACCGAGGAACUGCCUUUCAAACUGCUUGGCUUGAGUCCGGGAGAGGUGAGUGGAAUUCCCAGUGUAGCGGUGAAAUGCGUAGAUAUUGGGAGGAACACCAGUGGCGAAGGCGGCUCACUGGACCGGAACUGACGCUGAGGCGCGAAAGCGUGGGGAGCAAACGGG
rnacentral:rRNA from 1 species